GCUUGCAUCCUGGGGUUGUAGGACUGGACAUUGGAGUUACAAAAAUUUGGAUUAGCUGAAUGACAUGGGAAGGUCAGCCACAGCGGGUGAGAGCCCCUUAAGCUAAAAUCUAAAUUCUCCGUCCAGGAUCCUGAGUACGGCCAGACACGUGAAAUCUGGUCGGAAUCCGGGAGGACCAUCUCCCAAGGCUAAAUACUACCUAGUGACCGAUAGUGAACCAGUAC
rnacentral:ncRNA from 1 species